GACGAACGCUGGCGGCGUGCCUAAUACAUGCAAGUAGAACGCUGAAGGAGGAGCUUGCUUCUCUGGAUGAGUUGCGAACGGGUGAGUAACGCGUAGGUAACCUGCCUGGUAGCGGGGGAUAACUAUUGGAAACGAUAGCUAAUACCGCAUAAUAGUAGAUGUUGCAUGACAUUUGCUUAAAAGGUGCAAUUGCAUCACUACCAGAUGGACCUGCGUUGUAUUAGCUAGUUGGUGGGGUAACGGCUCACCAAGGCGACGAUACAUAGCCGACCUGAGAGGGUGAUCGGCCACACUGAGACUGAGGCACGGCCCAGACUCCUACGGGAGGCAGCAGUAGGGAAUCUUCGGCAAUGGACGUAAGUCUGACCAAGCAACGCCGCGUGAGUGAAGAAGGUUUUCGGAUCGUAAAGCUCUGUUGUAAGAGAAGAACGAGUGUGAGAGUGGAAAGUUCACACUGUGACGGUAUCUUGCCAGAAAGGGACGGCUAACUACGUG
rnacentral:rRNA from 1 species